UUGAAUUUUCCGACGUGAAUAUACUACAAUAGAACGGAUCAAAGGUAGCAGUAGUAGUAGUAGUAAAGGGGCAAUUUCUCGUGGUAGGUGGCCGAGAGAUUUUGACCAGGCCCAUCACCACCAAACCCCCUCCAUUAAUUUACCUCCUAAUUUCCUUGGCGCCCCCCACCAAACCCUUUUUCUUCUCCCUCGCCACCAUAUAUUAAACCCCGCAUUCCCCCACCUUGGCCGUCUUAAGCUUUCUACUCCAGAAAGCUAGGCUGCAGAAAGAAACAAUAAAGCAACAAACAGACAAACAAACAGACCAGUUAGAUAAUACUAAUAUUGAGGAGGCCUUCAUCCAAAUUAAUUUGCGCUCCUCUUUUAUCUUUCUUUCUUGCUUUUUUUGGUAGCAGUUGGCUGUUGGUUAUUUCAUAGGUUGAGAUCAGGCGGGGAACUCAGUUGGUUAAAAGCUGACUCCAUCGAUGGCGGCCUGCAGCCUUCAAACUCACCUGGGCGUCCGCCAUAACAUCUUCUGAGUCGGCGCCCACCGAUCCAGCCAUCUCAUCCGAUGCACCCACCGUCCGGAAGUUUCCUCCGGAGUCAGCAUUGCUGACACGUCCUCCUCCUCACGCUUCCUCCACGGCGCCAUCGGUCCCAACCGCGCCGACUGGCUGAGCACCUGCGCAAUCCUCUCCAGCAACGCC
rnacentral:lncRNA from 1 species